CCUCGUCAGGACCUGGCUCUGCCCUCAGAGUCAGUCUGGAUCCAGGAGUGAUUCAUCUUACACAGAUGAGAGGGGGAUAAAAAGAAAAGAACAGCCAGGACAAAUGUGUUUUCAGUGGUGCUUAACAGCAGGGAGACCAUUGAGACUUCAGAGCAGUGCUACUGGAGUGUGACAUCAUAAUACGCCAAGACCAGAGUCUCCCGCCUCUGGACUUUAUGGGCCAAUAUCUCCCAAGAUGAGUGAGCUUGCAGUGGCUCGGAUGGACUCCAGGGCAGCUGGCCAGCCCAGAGUGACAGCGACUAGGCGUCUGGGAGCCCCACUGGGUGUGAAAUGAAGGAGGCCCUCUGUGCCCUGAUCAGGCCCCUGUGAGCCCCCCGGGGCUCCAGGAGCCAGCUUCUCCCAGCUCUUAAAGAAGGGACAUAUAUCCUGCCUUUAAGACAAGACUACAAUUGCAAAUCUGAGAAUAUAAAUUACACUUUCAUCUUU